rnacentral:rRNA from 1 species
UCUUCCCUCUUCCCUCCUGCUUAACACAUGCAAGUCUUUGGCGAAGCUGUGCUUGCACAGCCUAGCCAAGGCGGACGGGUGAGUAACGCGUAAGGAACUUGCCCUGCAGUCAGGGAUAACAGACGGAAACGACUGAUAAGACCUGGUAAAGUCAGGCGGACUCAUGUCCAGCCUGAUGAAAAGAGAUGCUGCAGGAGAGCCUUGCGUCCUAUUAGCUUGUUGGUGGGGUAACGGCCCACCAAGGCGAUGAUAGGUAGCCGGCCUGAGAGGGUGGACGGCCACAAGGGGACGGAGAUACGGCCCUUACUCCUACGGGAGGCAGCAGUGGGGAAUAUUGGACAAUGGGGGCAACCCUGAUCCAGCAAUUCUGUGUGCACGAUGAAGGUUUUCGGAUUGUAAAGUGCUUUCAGCAGGGAAGAAAAAAUGACGGUACCUGCAGAAGAAGCGACGGCUAAAUACGUG